UGCAGUCGAACGGCAGCACGGGAGCAAUCCUGGUGGCGAGUGGCGAACGGGUGAGUAAUAUAUCGGAACGUGCCCAGUCGUGGGGGAUAACGCAGCGAAAGCUGUGCUAAUACCGCAUACGAUCUCUGGACGAAAGCGGGGGACUCGUAAGAGCCUCGCGCGAUUGGAGCGGCCGAUAUCAGAUUAGCUAGUUGGUGGGGUAAAGGCCCACCAAGGCGACGAUCUGUAGCUGGUCUGAGAGGACGACCAGCCACACUGGAACUGAGACACGGUCCAGACUCCUACGGGAGGCAGCAGUGGGGAAUUUUGGACAAUGGGCGCAAGCCUGAUCCAGCAAUGCCGCGUGCAGGAUGAAGGCCUUCGGGUUGUAAACUGCUUUUGUACGGAACGAAAAGGUCUGCCUUAAUACGGUGGGCCCAUGACGGUACCGUAAGAAUAAGCACCGGCUAACUACGUGCCAGCAGCCGCGGUAAUACGUAGGGUGCGAGCGUUAAUCGGAAUUACUGGGCGUAAAGCGUGCGCAGGCGGUUAUAUAAGACAGAUGUGAAAUCCCCGGGCUCAACCUGGGACCUGCAUUUGUGACUGUAUAGCUAGAGUACGGUAGAGGGGGAUGGAAUUCCGCGUGUAGCAGUGAAAUGCGUAGAUAUGCGGAGGAACACCGAUGGCGAAGGCAAUCCCCUGGACCUGUACCGACGCUCAUGCACGAAAGCGUG
rnacentral:rRNA from 1 species